rnacentral:tRNA from 1 species
GCGGGUGUAGCUCAGUUGGUAGAGCGCGACCUUGCCAAGGUCGAGGUCAGGAGUUCGAGCCUCCUUACCCGCUCCA